AGAGUUUGAUCAUGGCUCAGAUUGAACGCUGGCGGCAGGCCUAACACAUGCAAGUCGAACGGUAACAGGAAACAGCUUGCUGUUUCGCUGACGAGUGGCGGACGGGUGAGUAAUGUCUGGGAAACUGCCUGAUGGAGGGGGAUAACUACUGGAAACGGUAGCUAAUACCGCAUAACGUCGCAAGACCAAAGAGGGGGACCUUCGGGCCUCUUGCCAUCGGAUGUGCCCAGAUGGGAUUAGCUAGUAGGUGGGGUAACGGCUCACCUAGGCGACGAUCCCUAGCUGGUCUGAGAGGAUGACCAGCCACACUGGAACUGAGACACGGUCCAGACUCCUACGGGAGGCAGCAGUGGGGAAUAUUGCACAAUGGGCGCAAGCCUGAUGCAGCCAUGCCGCGUGUAUGAAGAAGGCCUUCGGGUUGUAAAGUACUUUCAGCGGGGAGGAAGGGAGUAAAGUUAAUACCUUUGCUCAUUGACGUUACCCGCAGAAGAAGCACCGGCUAACUCCGUGCCAGCAGCCGCGGUAAUACGGAGGGUGCAAGCGUUAAUCGGAAUUACUGGGCGUAAAGCGCACGCAGGCGGUUUGUUAAGUCAGAUGUGAAAUCCCCGGGCUCAACCUGGGGAACUGCAUCUGAUACUGGCAAGCUUGAGUCUCGUAGAGGGGGGUAGAAUUCCAGGUGUAGCGGUGAAAUGCGUAGAGAUCUGGAGGAAUACCGGUGGCGAAGGCGGCCCCCUGGACGAAGACUGACGCUCAGGUGCGAAAGCGUGGGGAGCAAACAGGAUUAGAUACCCUGGUAGUCCACGCCGUAAACGAUGUCGACUUGGAGGUUGUGCCCUUGAGGCGUGGCUUCCGGAGCUAACGCGUUAAGUCGACCGCCUGGGGAGUACGGCCGCAAGGUUAAAACUCAAAUGAAUUGACGGGGGCCCGCACAAGCGGUGGAGCAUGUGGUUUAAUUCGAUGCAACGCGAAGAACCUUACCUGGUCUUGACAUCCACGGAAGUUUUCAGAGAUGAGAAUGUGCCUUCGGGAACCGUGAGACAGGUGCUGCAUGGCUGUCGUCAGCUCGUGUUGUGAAAUGUUGGGUUAAGUCCCGCAACGAGCGCAACCCUUAUCCUUUGUUGCCAGCGGUCCGGCCGGGAACUCAAAGGAGACUGCCAGUGAUAAACUGGAGGAAGGUGGGGAUGACGUCAAGUCAUCAUGGCCCUUACGACCAGGGCUACACACGUGCUACAAUGGCGCAUACAAAGAGAAGCGACCUCGCGAGAGCAAGCGGACCUCAUAAAGUGCGUCGUAGUCCGGAUUGGAGUCUGCAACUCGACUCCAUGAAGUCGGAAUCGCUAGUAAUCGUGGAUCAGAAUGCCACGGUGAAUACGUUCCCGGGCCUUGUACACACCGCCCGUCACACCAUGGGAGUGGGUUGCAAAAGAAGUAGGUAGCUUAACCUUCGGGAGGGCGCUUACCACUUUGUGAUUCAUGACUGGGGUGAAGUCGUAACAAGGUAACCGUAGGGGAACCUGCGGUUGGAUCACCU
rnacentral:rRNA from 1 species